rnacentral:snoRNA from 1 species
GUAUCCCAUAUCAGAGUAAACUGUAGCUCUGAACCAUUGCCUGGCCUCUCUCUGUUGGCUGUUGGCACUGACGCGAGUUGCACAGCA